CCCAUACCGAACACGACCGUUAAGCCCUCCAGCGCCGAUGGUACUUGGACCGCAGGGUCCUGGGAGAGUAGGACGUCGCCAAGC
rnacentral:rRNA from 1 species